rnacentral:rRNA from 1 species
GACGAACGCUGGCGGCGUGCUUAACACAUGCAAGUCGAGCGGAAAGGCCACUUCGGUGGUACUCGAGCGGCGAACGGGUGAGUAACACGUGAGUAAUCUGCCCUUCACUUUGGGAUAACCCCCGGAAACGGGAGCUAAUACCGGAUACGACCAUUCCCGGCAUCGGGCGGUGGUGGAAACUUUUUUGGGUGGGGGAUGUGCUCGCGGCCUAUCAGCUGGUUGGUGGGGUAAUGGCCUACCAAGGCUUUGACGGGUAGCCGGCCUGAGAGGGUGACCGGCCACACUGGGACUGAGACACGGCCCAGACUCCUACGGGAGGCAGCAGUGGGGAAUAUUGGACAAUGGGCGGAAGCCUGAUCCAGCAACGCCGCGUGAGGGAUGACGGCCUUCGGGUUGUAAACCUCUUCCAGCACCGACGAAGCGCAAGUGACGGUAGGUGCAGAAGAAGGACCGGCCAACUACAUGCCAGCCGCCGCCGUAACAC